rnacentral:rRNA from 1 species
GAUCCUGGCUCAGGAUGAACGCUAGCUACAGGCUUAACACAUGCAAGUCGAGGGGAAACGACAUCGAAAGCUUGCUUUUGAUGGGCGUCGACCGGCGCACGGGUGGGUAACGCGUAUCCAACCUGCCCAUCACUUGGGAAUAACCUUGCGAAAGUAAGACUAAUACCCAAUGAUAUCCCACGAAGGCAUCCGAAUGGGAUUAAAGAUUUAUCGGUGAUGGAGUGGGGAUGCGUCUGAUUAGCUUGG